rnacentral:rRNA from 1 species
AUUGAACGCUGGCGGCAGGCUUAACACAUGCAAGUCGAGCGGAGCGAGGGUGCUUGCACCUUAGCUUAGCGGCGGACGGGUGAGUAAUGCUUAGGAAUCUGCCUAUUAGUGGGGGACAACAUUCCGAAAGGAAUGCUAAUACCGCAUACGCCCUACGGGGGAAAGCAGGGGAUCUUCGGACCUUGCGCUAAUAGAUGAGCCUAAGUCGGAUUAGCUAGUUGGUGGGGUAAAGGCCUACCAAGGCGACGAUCUGUAGCGGGUCUGAGAGGAUGAUCCGCCACACUGGGACUGAGACACGGCCCAGACUCCUACGGGGGGCAGCAGUGGGGAAUAUUGGACAAUGGGCGGAAGCCUGAUCCAGCCAUGCCGCGUGUGUGAAGAAGGCCUUUUGGUUGUAAAGCACUUUAAGCGAGGAGGAGGCUACUUAGAUUAAUACUCUAGGAUAGUGGACGUUACUCGCAGAAUAAGCACCGGCUAACUCUGUGCCAGCAGCCGCCGUAACAC